CUCCGCCGUACAACAACUCUUUGCCGCCCCUCGCAAUCUUCAUAAACCGUCGACCAGUCACGUCCUCACGUGCCGAGAAAACCUUUGUGAUUCUGUGUUGUGAUUAUGAUAAGUGCAUUAUUUUAAUAUUUCCAUUGGGAUUAUUAUUUCAUGAUUGAUCUCUCCAAUAAGAGAUAAUCGGUCGGAACACACAAUGCAUUUAGAAAUUGCUGACGGGACGGAAAACUGAAACAAAAGGAUAAAGGUGUAAAAAGCGAUACUGCGAGGGUCCAAAUAUGAAAGGAAAGGAAUAUGCGAACAUUGGU
rnacentral:lncRNA from 1 species